AGGGUUGAGAGGUUGAUCUAUUAGAUGAUCUAGCAUCAGAGAAAUCUAUGGUAGCGAUCAACCCUAAUAUGGUGAGCCAAUAUUUUACUUAGCUUUGCCACCUUCUAAAGGAAGAUCCACUAAAUUUUUCGGGUUUGAUUGAACUAUGAUCAUCAAAAGAAGUUAUUUAUAAAGUUUUGUUUGCUUAGUUUGUUAUGCAAACACAAGUUUCACGGGGAUUAGCCAUGUAUGUUUGAAUAGUUAAUUAAUGGCUUUCAAUAAUAUACUUCUAGGUUUUGAAAAUAAAUAUAAUAA
rnacentral:lncRNA from 1 species